rnacentral:rRNA from 1 species
AUUGAACGCUGGCGGCAGGCCUAACACAUGCAAGUCGAGCGGAUGAAGGGAGCUUGCUCCUGGAUUCAGCGGCGGACGGGUGAGUAAUGCCUAGGAAUCUGCCUGGUAGUGGGGGAUAACGUCCGGAAACGGGCGCUAAUACCGCAUACGUCCUGAGGGAGAAAGUGGGGGAUCUUCGGACCUCACGCUAUCAGAUGAGCCUAGGUCGGAUUAGCUAGUUGGUGGGGUAAAGGCCUACCAAGGCGACGAUCCGUAACUGGUCUGAGAGGAUGAUCAGUCACACUUGAACUGAGACACGGUCCAGACUCCGAAGGGAAGCAACAGUGGGGAAAUUUGGACAAUGGGCGAAAGCCUUAUCCAGCCAUGGCGCGGGGUGGAAGAAGGUCUUCGGAAUGGUAAGCAAUUUAAGUUGGGAGGAAGGGCAGGAAGUUAAUACCUUGCUGGUUUGACGUUACCAACAGAAUAAGCACCGGCUAACUUCGUG